UACAGAGACUGCAAGCGUUAUUCGGAUUCACUGGGCGUAAAGGGUGCGCAGGCGGCCGGGUGUGUCAGAUGUGAAAUCCCGAGGCUCAACCUCGGAACUGCGUCUGAAACUACUCGGCUAGAGUACUGGAGAGGGUAACGGAAUUCACGGUGUAGCAGUGAAAUGCGUAGAUAUCGUGAGGAACACCAGAGGCGAAGGCGGUUACCUGGACAGUUACUGACGCUCAGGCACGAAAGCAUGGGGAGCAAAAAGGG
rnacentral:rRNA from 1 species